AUUGGCCUUAUACUGAACACCAAAUCCCUAAAAUUACAGAUAAUUUGUAAACAUUAAAAGCAAUUGCGCACGCACGCAGCCCCUUUCUCUCAACAGCACGCACGCCGCCAGCACACUUAGCCCAUGCAGCAGCAACCGAGCACGGUAGCAACAGGCCACCAGCAGUCGCUCUCUCUCUCACGCACACGCAGCAGCAAGCCAACACCAAUAGCCCCUCUUUCUCAUGCUCACUCUCUACUAUGACGAAGUCAACACUAUAGCCCUCUUACGUACUCAAGAAAACUCUAACCCAUAUCCAAACCCUCGCCGUCGAAGAAAACCCAAUCCUUAAUGGCUUGAAAUUAAAGCCUCCGCCGUCAAUCACCAUCGAACCAAAUAAACCCUAGCCUUACCAUCACUCUUCAUUUGACUCGCUGAAGAAAGCACUCUAUUAGGUAAGUCUCUGUUGUUUGAUAAUAUAUCUGCACUCUUUGUUGGCCGAAGCUUUUAGACAAUUGCUUUGAUUCAAUUGCUUCGAUUGGUUAGUUCUCUGUGAUUAAUUAGUUAGUUACUUUUAAUUUCAUAUUUUCAUCUCUAACAGUGAAUUUGGGAGUCGUUUUCUCUAUCGGAUUUGUAAUUUUUGCUACGGAUCAAAAACAUCUUGAAGGUGUUUUCAUAUCUAACAACUUGAACUAUCAUUUAUUUUGUCCUAUUAAUGUUCAAUUUUUUUUUUCUUUUUUAUUAGUAUGACAAUUAGUCGAAUGUCCUUGCACAUAAAACAAUCUUUUAACUUGGCGUUGGAAUAUUUGUUUUGAGUUGUGUCCCCUUAAUCAGUGACCAUACAAAAGUUCCCCAUGAUAAAGUGUUUAGCCCUAUUAAUGCCAUAAAGUCUUGCUCUCAAUUUUUCUGAUUAUGCCUAUGGAUUGAUUACCUAUUUCAUUUACAAAUUCAAUUGGCAAAUGUACAAUGCCUGCAUGACACUCACAUUUGGGUUAUAAUGGUAGUCAUUAUGAGGAAGAAGGUUAGAAUAACAUCAGGGGAAACAUCUGGGAGAAGGUAUGUACUGUCAAGCUCUUUGUUAGAAUCAUCACGAAAUUUAUAUUGGAUCGUGGCUGUUCUAUGUGAUGCAUUUUGGAUUUGCUCUUGCUAGACAUGCAAAAACUUGUAAAAUGUAUUUUUUUUUUCCCAUUUUAGAUUUACUAUCUAGUAUCUUGUAGGUUUAAUCUAAAAUAGAAACCAUUCAGGAUACUGGACACAAUUCUAAUGAAGAGAAAAGAUGUUAGACUUUAGUAUUCAACCUUUUUUUUUUAGCCAUAUUUCUAGACCCCAAGUUUAUGUCAUGAUAAUUGUGUGAUUGAUAAGAUAUUUUGGUUUUAGACUGUAUCUCAUGGAUUUAGAGUUCGAUUAUAUUUGGAAGUGGAAUAAUGCAUUCAUUUACAUAUGAUGUUUGAUGAAGUUCCCAUAAAAUUAAUUCAAUUAUAUAUGCUUAUGGUUCUAAGGAAGCGGGGCAAAAAUUUUAUCAGUGGGUUGAUUUCACUAGUUCAAGUUAGUAAAGCAAAGAAAUUGUCUUUAUGCACUUUAACUUUCCUCCAUUUAAGUUAAAAAAAUUAUUGAAGCUUUUGGAAGUGAAUUGUUCAUUUUGUUUGUGCACUUAUGCAGAUGGAUUUACUUUUGGCUGCUUAACCCUUCCUCACUUAUAUUUUUUCAGUUUAAAUUGCAGUGUUUUACUGCUGUGCAACAGCACAAGAGGUUGUUUUAUUGUUGUUUCUAUAAAAACACAGCACCAGGAAGCGUCCAGGUAAUGUUUCGCUGCUGUUAUGCAGUAAAAACAACACCUGAAAGUUUCUAGGUGCUAUUUUUACUGCUGUUUACGCAGAAACACAGCACCUAAAAGUGUCUCUAAGUUCUGUUUAGCUGCUAUUAUGCAGCAAAAACAGCACUUGGAAACUUCCAAGUGCUGUUUUUAUUGCAUUUUAUGCAGAAACAAAGCACCUAGAAGCAUUCAAGGGUUGCUUUACUGUUGUUUUGUAUUUAAAAUUGGUCUUAGAAAUUUUGGGUGCUAUUUCGCUGAAAUUUUGCUACUAACAGUGCAGCUUAAUAAUUUCAUAUGUCGUUUUGAACCUUCUUCAGUUCUUUUCUCUUAUGUCUAUACUUAAUCUUUUCCCCCCUUGGUAAUAAGCAGGUACAAUUUUUGCAAGGUAAUAUCUAAGCAUGCUGUUAAUUCUUUGGUUGAGACGUAGUAUUCUAAACUUCAGGCCUUAAUUUUUUUAUUUCCAAGUGUAUAAUGGGUAGGUACUGGAUCUCUUAUGGAUGAUGUAGUUAAUGCUUUUUUAUUGUCUCUAUUUUGGCAAAUGUGUUGUCAUUUAUUAUCUGAACACAUGGUUGAUUAACUUACUUGAGGUAAGUCUAUUAAUUAAUAGUGAUAUGGUACUUUAAAGUCUUGUUUUACAACUUAAGUCACUAAAGUGAUUUAAUAUUUAUGAUUUAUAAUAUAUGAAUAUAUCUUAAUUUCUCUUUAUUCUUUGUAAG
rnacentral:lncRNA from 1 species